CGGCACGCCUAACACAUGCAAGUCGAACGAAGUAGCAAUACUUAGUGGCAGACGGGUGAGUAACAUGUGGGUAUCUGCCCUUUGGCCUGGAAUAACACGAGGAAACUUGUGCUAAUACCGGAUAAGUCUUUACGGAGAAAGCUUUAUGCACCAUUGGAUGAGCCCGCACUUGAUUAGUUUGUUGGUGGGGUAAUGGCCUACCAAGACUGUGAUCAAUAGCUGAUUUGAGAGGAUGAUCAGCCACAUUGGGACUGAGACACGGCCCAAACUCCUACGGGAGGCAGCAGUGGGGAAUCUUGCACAAUGGAGGAAACUCUGAUGCAGCGAUGCCGCGUGAGUGAAGAAGGCCCUUGGGUUGUAAAGCUCUUUCGUCGGGGAAGAAAAUGACUGUACCCGAAUAAGAAGGUCCGGCUAACUUCGUGCCAGCAGCCGCGGUAAUACGAAGGGACCUAGCGUAGUUCGGAAUUACUGGGCUUAAAGAGUUCGUAGGUGGUUGAAAAAGUUAGUGGUGAAAUCCCAGAGCUUAACUCUGGAACUGCCAUUAAAACUUUUCAGCUAGAGUAUGAUAGAGGAAAGCAGAAUUUCUAGUGUAGAGGUGAAAUUCGUAGAUAUUAGAAAGAAUACCAAUUGCGAAGGCAGCUUUCUGGAUCAUUACUGACACUGAGGAACGAAAGCAUGGGUAGCGAAGAGGAU
rnacentral:rRNA from 1 species